UACGUAGGGGGCAAGCGUUGUCCGGAUUUAUUGGGCGUAAAGAGCGUGUAGGCGGCCUGAAAGGUCAGCUGUGAAAACUCGAGGCUCAACCUCGAGACGUCGGUUGAAACCAUCUGGCUAGAGUCCGGAAGAGGAGAGUGGAAUUCCCGGUGUAGCGGUGAAAUGCGCAGAUAUCGGGAAGAACACCCGUGGCGAAGGCGGCUCUCUGGGACGGUACUGACGCUGAGGUGCGAAAGCGUGGGGAGCAAACAGG
rnacentral:rRNA from 1 species